GGCUUUAUAGUCAUUAUAUGAUGUUAGACUGCAAUUCUAGAGGUGUAGUAUUUACUAAGGCUU
rnacentral:tRNA from 1 species